rnacentral:lncRNA from 1 species
UUGAGUAUUGCUCAGCAGCCACCACAAUAAAUAAUAAUACGACCCCUCUUCAAUAACCAUCAAUCCACUUCAUUCGCUGUUCUAGAAUUCUCGCAACAAAUUCAACUUCAACCCUAUCUCCUGCCAUCCUUUUCACACUCUCAAAGCCAUUAACACAAUGAUUCCGUAUCUCCGUCCACAACAGUUUUGAACUUCAUAUAUGAUGGAUACUGCAUCACAAUCUGAAGCGAUGUACCUGAGCAAAGAUGCCCGGAAAAUAGUUUGGGACUCCAUUGACACGGUUGUAAGCGCACAUGAUUCCGCUAGCUUGGGCAUUUUGUAUGCAACUUUGGAAAGGCGGUUGAUACGUGUCGGCAAGAUCUUGCUUCGUCACCUGUUUUUGUAUUUUCGCGCAUGAUUAGUGUUGCAUGUAUUCCAUACUCUGAGUAAAGACAUAAUAAAAUGGGUCGCUCUAAUGAGGCCUGAUCUGACUCAUCGGUCUUAACCGUAAUAUGAAACCCAAGGUGGUGAAAAAGCACACAAGCGAAAGUAUAAGGAGCUAAAAAGAAAAUAAACUAACCUUGGCAUCAAAACUGAAUCUACCAACACCAUUCCAGUGAUCCAAAUCAUAAGCAGUGAAAUGUUUGCAACAAGCAGAAGCUUGAAGAUGUCCAUCUUUAAGCCCUCCACCUUCAAAAGUGUCACCUUGGACCCCUCUAACAUAAGAAAUUGCAUAUAUGCCACCGACCAAUGGGUCUUCGCCAGGUGUCUCUUGACCUCUACCCCAUCUAGGGUCCCUAAACACAUUGAUGUUUGGGGCCCAAAAUGUCAUUCCAUUGGCUUGUCCUUGAUUAUAAACUGCCCUUGCUUCCAAUCCAAUUGCCUAAAUUAGAAUACAAGUACUUUUUAUAAAACAAUUAUAUCAUAUUAAUUAAUUUUAGUUAGUUGAGUAUUUAACAAGAAGAAAGCAUAUGAUUAAAGCAAAUGGUUGUAACCACAGCUCUUAUAAUUACCAAUGAUUUAGUAUUAAAUUGGUACCGAGUUAACAAGGUUCACCUGGCCAAUUCGGUACCAUAGCCUGGCAUCGAAAGAAGCUGCGGUGAGGAUAACUUGUGGGAAACUUGUGGUGGACUUGAUGGUACCAUUGAGGAGAAUGCCAAAUCCCGAGUUAGAAACACCAUGUAAAGCCUCUGACCACCACUCAUAGGCAGGGAUACCAAGUCGUGGGAUUGCUGGUGCGGCAUUGACUAGCUGUGGGAUCUUCUCGUCAAGUGUGAGACGUGAGACGAGGUCAUUGACGCGUGUGGAGAUAGGUAGCGUGAGGUUGCAAAAUGGGUAUGAUUUGGUAGCCGGGUUGGAUGAGUCGCAGGCGAAUGGUGGCUGAGCUGACUCAGUGAAUAUGAUAAUUGUUAGGUUGAGACAUAAGAUUAGUUGUAUACUACAAUAAAGUCUCAUUGUGCCUUUUGAAGCACAACCAAUUGAUGCCAGAGAGAUGUAGAUAUAUAGAAUGGAAGGUAAGGUUUGGAGUAAAAGAGAAAAAAGAUAGGGACCAAUAACCUUACUAGUAUUAUGAUAGUGAACUAUAAGCUACAAUAAGUAAGAACUACUCUAAAAACAUAUUCAAGUUGGAACAACCAUAUUUUUGUUUAGCUUUUAAAAAUUCUAAAUAACUAAUAAAAUAAACUAGCAGUUUACCCGUCCGUUGGGACAGGUUUUUAAGAUUAAGAACAUCAAUGACUAUAUGUAUAUUUAAAAUAAUGAUGACUUUUUAUUCAAUUGCGAUUAGUAACUACAACAGUUCUUAAAUUGUCAUACAUACUACCUUAAAAUCUAAUAUCUAAUUUGCACAAUUUAAAAUGUUUAAUUAAUUAUUUGUAAAUUGAUUAAUGUAGGAAUUGCUAACACCAUUAAAUGAAGAUAAAAGAGGUCUUUCCAUAUUACAUGUCUAUGAAAGUAGUAAAAAUAAUAAAAACUAUCAAUGACAAGCAAACAUGGAUUAUAUUUAUUGGCGUAAAAAAAUUUACACAAUAUUUAAAUUGUAUAAAUCAUAAAAAUUGUUAUGUUUACCCUGCUAAGUUAAUACGAUCAACACUAACAAACAUAUUCUAAGCAUAUUAAAGUACCACAUUAGUUACUAAACAUUGAAUAUUUAUAUAAGAAAAUACACCAAAACAAAAAACAACCACAAACAUAAGAGUAUGUAUAUUACACAAAGGUAACAAUAAAACAACUAAGUACAAAAUGAUAACUAAACAUGUGGUGAAACUAUAGUUUCGAUAUAGGUUGCAUCUAUGAUGCCUUGCGUAAAGAUGAUAGGAAAAAAAAUCAUGUAUAUUCUUUGUCCUUACCUUUAUCUCAGCAACCUCACCCCAUUCGUGUACUAUAAUUAACUUGUUAUUUCCAUCAAUAUAGUGCACAGAUGACCCAACCAUCAAUGACAUAAACACACAGGGUACAAAAGACAUCACUUUCGACCAAGUUGCGUUUUGCAGACUCCACAAUUGAACAUCUACACUACACAUUCCAAUAAUAACAAACAUAUAAAGUUCAUAUCGUAUACUCACCAACUGACCUAUAGCUUCCACACUCAGAUCUGGAAAUUCUACAUUUUUAAUUACCUUUGAAUCAAUAGCUUCUACACUCAGUGUAGUGUAUCUGGAACUCCUACAUUUUUAAUUACCUUGGAAUCAACAUGCAAACGAAGUACCGUUAUGUUACCAAUACACUAGAAUUUGGUCAAUACAAAAUACAAACUAUUUGAACAAAACGUCUCAAAGGAGUUGGUGGGGGUGGUUAUUUAUUUAUUUAUAAUGAGAGAAGAGUUAUAUUUUCCAUUAAUACAACAAUUGAUCUUAUUAUUAGUUUUGUAGGAGAACAUGGUCGAAAGGUAAAAAAAAAUAGUUUAACCUGAAUAAUAAACCGCUAAUACAUUGUAUGUUAUAAAAAAUACAAAUUAAAAAUAUAUCUUGUCAUAUAAUAACACAAUCUUUACACAAAAACACAAUGCUACAGUAGAGCACAAUGUUACAUAUAUAACACAAAAAAAAAAAAAAAAAAAAAAAAAAAAAAAACAACUGUUGAGUACUUAGGAUUUGAUAUUACCACAAAAUUAACACAAAAAAAUAAUUUACAUCGGAGUUAAGGUGUUGCUCCCUUGCGGUCAAGGGUUCGAGACAUGUCGAAGACGGAUUCGAUGUAAUUUAAACCGCUAAAAAACAUAUUACAUGUUUAU